CCUCGACCACGCGAGGUGCUCGGCUCUCUGGAGGUCAGGGCUUCGACCCCAUCCAGCUCCCACGAAAAGACGUGCUUGCCGGCUACGAGGAGGGGCGGUGACCCGUGACGCCGUCUCGCGGCCAGAGGACCAGGGGUCGCAUCACUGUUCCGUGGUUUUGCCCCGCAAUCACUCCUCACGAUUGCAGGGAUGAUUCCUCCCCCAAAUGUCCCUCAGUCUGUGUUCUUCCGGAUCACUGGUCCUCGAUAUGGACCUAGCUGUCGAGACGCCAGUCCCUAAAGAAGCACUUGAACUUCCUAGUGGACAGUGUGGUCACCAGGAUGUACUGCGGAGUGGACGAGGGGCGGAGGGUCACGAGGCGGGGCUGCUGUCGACGAUGCACACGCUGCUGCCGGCGCACGAGGGCAGGCCGGGGUCUCGCCGCUGCAGGGAGAGGCUCCUCUUCAGGUCCGCCGGCAGCCGGGAGGUGGCCGCCGCUAUCCCUGCCGGAGGGAGAAGCAACAGUCACGGCUAGACACGGCUGGAAAACAAGGGGGUCGUUAUUCCUGCCGCACAUUCAGUAACAUGCCUGGAGCAAGCCCGUCAUGAUGGGAGGAUGCAGUCACCCUGGAGAGCUAAGAGGCUGGUUUUCUGGGUGACUGAGGACUCCCAGGACAUGCGAGACUCAAAAAUGUUUGAAUGCCCUUUUCUAAACGAUACUAAAAAAAUAAUAUGUAAAGUAUUUUUUUGCAAAAGUUAAAAAAAAAAAAUAGAAACCUGGAGCAAGAAUAAUUGUGAUUUAAAAACGGUUAUUGUAUUCAAGAGUUAGAAAUUCCAAUGGAAUCGCAGACCAUCCAACCAAGAGUGCACUUCGAAUAAACCAAAAACUUAUUUGCAGUCGCGGACAGCUGGGUAUUCUAAGACCACCCGUGCCGAGUACGAACACCGUGUUCUGUUGUACACAGUGUAAACCAACUGUUUCGCUGCAGUCACGGACAGAAGGAUAUUCGAAGAGCCCUGCCGGAGUUCGAAUGCCAUGUUCUGUUGUAAAAACCAAGCUCCUAGCUCCUAGCUUCUAGUUCCUGGCUCCUGGCUACUAGCUCCUAGCUUCUAGCUCCUAUCUCCUCUCUCCUAUAGCUCAUAUCUCUUCUCUCCUAUAGCUCCUAUCUCCUAGCUUCUAUCUCUAGCUCCUAGUGUCUAGCUUCUAGAUCUUACCUCCUAGCUCCUAACUCAGCGCUGGUCUCGACAGCAGCGCAUCACAGCUCGUAAUAUGUAACCAGGUUCCAAUAAGCCAGUUAAAAAUUGUUACAUUCACUAGUUGAGUAACUUUAAAAUUGCUGUUAAAAUUACUGCAGAUACAAAAUAAAGUUGAUCAAAAGCA